rnacentral:lncRNA from 1 species
UUCAAAUAGAAUACUAGCAAAUCGAUAAUAACUUUACUCUACAACCAAAGGUCCCCAAACGUACUAAAGAUAUCAAAUAAUAAUCUGAUAAAGUAGGCUAUACAACUAUUCACAUGUAGCUCAAUUAGGUGAAUUGACAGGCUCCAAGACUGUUCAACUCUACUACUAUCUGCUCAGAAAAAGGGUGACAAAACAUGAGCUUGUAACUCAGUGAGUGGAUGAUUUGCAAAUAAGUAUACUUUUCUCAUUUAUGCAUAUUUUCUGAAAAUUUUUGCUCUAUUGAAACUUUAAGAAAUUUUGAAAUUUGGUAACACUUUUUAUAAUCAAACAUGAAUACAUUAUAAAAUUUUUUGUUCUUCAUUCUAGAUACGUAACUGUAAAAUGUAACGAAUAUAAAUAAUAUGAUAUCCGUGAAAAUCUAUAAAAUAUUGCUGCUGAUCAAUACUAUAAGCUGAAAGCUUUAACUUGAGAACUUAAUAGACUAAAUUCUAUAAUUCGAAAUCUAAUAAGCAAUAGAAAUACUGAAAAAUCACACCAAAAAGGUACCCAAUGAAUAGCCUGAUUCAUGUACAAAGUAAUCUUGAUGUACAAGGUAGAGCCAUUCAAAUUUGAUAUUCUGAUAAUCUGGUCAUACGUACGUAGAACUGCUCCAAAGGCUAAUCACCCUAAUACACGGCCCAAAGCCUAUGUGUGUAUGAGAGUGGGUCCUAAAGAAAUCUAAUAAUCUAGUCAUACAUUAUGGAAACAUAUUAACAAUAGUGUAGAAUGGGUAAAAUCACCAUAACUAGUCCUGCACUGUGAAUACACACUCACACCAGUGCAGACUGGGGUAAAAUCAACUCUGAGUACUUUUUGGUGGUUUUAAAAAUAACUUUAGCUAUACUGAAACAGUUAUAUUCAAAUAACAUGAUAAUCAAAUGAUUUAAUUAAAUUGAAUUUAACCUUAAAAGUAACUGAUUAUAAAUCCACUUUAUUCUAAAAAUCAUGCUGUCAAAUCAACUGUAUGAAAUAAUAAAAUUUCUAAUUUAAGAUAAAUUUAAUAAAUAUUAAUUUUUGAAAAAUAAGUUUUUAUAUCCACUCACCAAGUUAUGGAUUGAUCAUGAUUUCAAUCUUCUCGUCAUAUCCUGAAUAUGAUACAAGAUAACGAAUUUAACAAUCACCCUACCAAGUAUUCUUAACUUUUAACUACGAAAUACUCAACUUCUCGACACUAGGAUAUAUUCUUUAAUUUCCUUCACAAUUGAAACUAAUUCUAUCUCUAGUCCUUUCAUUAAAGUCUAAUUCAUCAAAAUAAUCUUCACUCCAAAUAUAAAAAUAAUUCCUUCUUCCAAACUAGUAAAACUAAUAAUUAUAAUUUAACCAAUUUAAUUUUCCAUCUUGCUCCAUAAAUUCAUGCUUUCAAAUGAGUAUUUCAUCUCUACAAUUAUUCUUGUUAACUAUAUUCAUUCAAAAAUCCAAAUAAAAAUUCAAGGUUUUUUUUUCCCCCCAAAAUUGGUAUUUCAUACCUUAAUAUAAGUAGCCUUCCCAAUUCAAAAAUAUUGACUUGCAAACAUAUCCCUUCCUUCAAUCU